rnacentral:tRNA from 2 species
AAGGAUUUAGGUUAAAAAAACCCACGGCCUUCAAAGCCGUUAAUAGACCUGUGUCUAAGCCUUA